UACGUAGGUGGCAAGCGUUGUCCGGAAUUAUUGGGCGUAAAGCGCGCGCAGGCGGUCCUUUAAGUCUGAUGUGAAAGCCCACGGCUCAACCGUGGAGGGUCAUUGGAAACUGGGGGACUUGAGUGCAGGAGAGAAGAGUGGAAUUCCACGUGUAGCGGUGAAAUGCGUAGAGAUGUGGAGGAACACCAGUGGCGAAGGCGACUCUUUGGCCGUGUAA
rnacentral:rRNA from 1 species